AACCACUACUUAAAGAACUGUUGGCGACACAUCCUGGGCUAGAGUUCUUGCAAACCACACCUGAAUUCCAGGAAAGAUAUGCUGAAACCGUCACCUACCGAAUAUUUUACUACA